GACACGCGGGGGCGGGGAUGCUUCGGUCUGCCUCAGAAAUUCCCCCUCUGCAAACUUCUCAGCUUCCCAUGAGUGACUUUGAACUCAUGGCAAGCACUGUUCAUCAGGCAUCGAAAAGAAGAGGUGACAGCAGGAAGAGUGGACCACACUUCCUUAAUCCUUCAAAAGUGAGCUUUUGAGGAAAGCAAGGCAGCUCCAUUACUAGGGUUCAGUGAUGGGACUUAUACUGUGGAAGGUAAAUAAAACCACAUAUAGACAAA
rnacentral:lncRNA from 1 species